rnacentral:misc_RNA from 1 species
GAUGAAGAACGUAGCGAACUGCGAUAAGUAAUGUGAAUUGCAGAAUUCAGUGAAUCAUCGAGUCUUUGAACGCACAUUGCGCCCCCUGGCAUUCCGGGGGGCAGGCCUGUCCGAGCGUCAUUGCUGCCCUUCAAGCCCGGCUUGUGUGUUGGGUCGUCGUCCCCCCCGGGGGACGGGCCCGAAAGGCAGCGGCGGCACCGCGUCCGGUCCUCGAGCGUAUGGGGCUUUGUCACCCGCUCGAUUAGGGCCGGCCGGGCGCCAGCCGGCGUCUCCAACCUUCUAUUUUACCAGGUUGACCUCGGAUCAGGUAGGGAUACCCGCUGAACUUAAGCAUAUCAAUAAGCGGAGGA